GAGUUUGAUCGUGGCUCAGAUUGAACGCUGGCGGCAGGCUUAACACAUGCAAGUCGAGCGGGGGAGGUUGCUUCGGUAACUGACCUAGCGGCGGACGGGUGAGUAAUACUUAGGAAUCUGCCUAUUAAUGGGGACGAACAUCUCGAAAGGGAUGCUAAUACCGCAUACGCCCUACGGGGAAAGGCAGGGGAUCACUUGUGACCUUGCGUUAAUAGAUGAGCCUAAGUCGGAUUAGCUAGUUGGUGGGGUAAAGGCCUACCAAGCGACGAUCUGUAGCGGGUCGUGAGAGGAUGAUCCGCCACACUGGGACGUGAGACACGGCCCACGACUCCUACGGGAGGGCAGCAGUGGGG
rnacentral:rRNA from 1 species